rnacentral:rRNA from 1 species
AUGGCAAGAAGUGGCCGUAUUUUCUUGAUUGUCCGUGCACGGCUGCAGCGACGUUUACUUCCGAUCCGGAAAACGGGACGCCUUCGGUGGAUUCCUGCAACGGUGCAAAGGGAAUCUUCCUGUUGGUCUUGGCGACUUUGUAGAACAGCGCAGCGGGAAUCGAUCCGGACGGAUCGUCUGGUUGCGUGCGGCCACACGCGCAACCCUAAAUCUCUCUUCGCACUACUAGCUCCGAGGUUGACCAUGAUACUGGUAACGAUGAAUUUACCGGCUCUGUCUGAGGCUUGCCGGGUUAUCCUGCGCGCUUUUCCGUGGCGCUUUUUUUAUCCGAUUAAUCGCGAGCUUCACGAUCCCUGA